AUUGAACGCUGGCGGCAGGCCUAACACAUGCAAGUCGAACGAGUGGCGGACGGGUGAGUAAUGCUUGGGAAUCUGGCUUAUGGAGGGGGAUAACGACGGGAAACUGUCGCUAAUACCGCAUACCAUAGGAUGAGCCCAAGUUGGAUUAGUUAGUGGGUGGGGUAAUGGCCUACCAAGCCGACGCUCCCUAGCUGGUCUGAGAGGAUGACCAGCCACACCGGGACUGAGACACGGACCUGACGCCUACGGGAGGCAGCAGUGGGGAAGAUUGCGCAAUGGGGGCAACCUGACGGAGCCAUGCCGCGUGAAUGAAGAAGGCCUUCGGGUUGUAAAGUGCUUUCGGUGACGAGGCGUUACUCACAGAAGAAGCACCGGCUAACUCCGUGCCAGCAGCCGCGGUAAUUC
rnacentral:rRNA from 1 species